GUCUGGGAAAACGCGGAUUUUGCAUGUGAUGGGAACAGAGAGCUUCUCGUUAGCCAGUAAAACUGAGAAAGAUUGAAAAGACAGAGCUUGGACGUACAAUGUAGGAAGGUCUUCUAAUCCAAAUCCUACGAGCUCUAAUGAUAGGUACUUCCUAUCACCCUUUCAAAGGAGCAAGCAAGGUGUAUACAGUUGCGAGCAGAAAAGAGUGUUCCACCAUUUUAAAGGCGGCGGGGGAAAGAAGUAGGAAGAGGACAGCCUAAGACAGCUCUCUUACUAGACAGCCUGGGUUCUCACCCAACUUGAUGAUCUGGGUUCUCUUCAUACCUUGAGGCUGUUCUGAUUUGCAUAUUUCUCAACAGUCACAUUACAUGCUGGGCAAGGAAGCACUGUCUAUCUUCCAGGCUCUCAGCAGUGUCUUUGUGCCAAACAUCACUCAAAAUUCCCCAGACUACCAGGGAUGCAAACAGAAAUAAGACUCUCUAUCUGCAUGGUUCCAGCACUUGCUUUGAAGUGGGGUGAAGGCACAUUCUCAGUUCUACAAAAUGACCAAAACCUUGCUUUGUAUAUCAGUUCCAAAUGUACUUCUUAAAAAAAUAUGAUACUGUUCACAACAGCUAUGGAUAGCCUGAAAACAACCUAAACAAUUAGGAGAAGAAAGGCAUAAUUUGCUAUGCUGUGGACAGAAAGAAUACAUGGAGUUGAUCAGAAAGGGGCAACUGUGAGGGGCAACUGUGGCUUCAAGCAGAAACAUGACUCUUGGCACCUGAGAACUUCAAAGUUAAAAAGUAAGGCACUGGGACUUCUACUGUUUCUAGCGUUGGAGAGCCACUAAGCUAUCAUAUGAGACUGGAACUUAGUUGACUCUCUUUCACCUGCAGUCUGUUUCAGGUACGAAAGUCUUUUAGCAGAUCUGGUAUGAGUUUGCAGUGGGAUACCACCAAGUAUCUUGACGGUGCCACUGGAAUACCUUAAGAAAUUAAAAAAAAAAGGAAAAAAAAAAAAAGAAUGCAACCACCCCUUCAAAACCCAAGCACAACUCUGCCCAAAGAAACAUGAUGCACCUCCUUUUCCCCAAAAUCCCUAACCUCCUCUCAAUAAUUAGUUCAUCCUAUUCCCUCUCUAAAUACUUACUCAUUCUCUGAAGAAGAUCCCACUCCUCUUGCAGAAAUGCUCCAUAGUGACCUAUGAUAAAAUAGCAUAUGACAGACUUGUGCAGAAGAGUAAGAUCCUGAAGCACAGUUUUCAUAAACACUCACAAAGAAAGAUCCAGACACUCAUACGCCUCACUGGUAGAAAUAGAGUUGCUCUGUCCUGCCCCAACUGGAAGAGUCGGAUCAUUCUGUUCACCCUAGAUUUACAGGACAGACCAGGACAAGAAAUCCCCAUGCCCUACUUUCACUGGUACUCCCAAAGGCUGAUAUGUUGACACUGGCAGCUCAAAGUCCAACUUUGAAGGGUUUAUACCAGAUAUUUAAUAAAUCCCAUUAGGAUAAAAGAUGAUCAGACUGAAAGA